GAUGAACGCUAGCGGCAGGCUUAAUACAUGCAAGUCGAGGGGCAGCAUGAUUGUAGCAAUACAAUUGAUGGCGACCGGCAAACGGGUGCGGAACACGUACACAACCUCCCAAUAAGUGGGGAAUAGCCCAGAGAAAUUUGGAUUAAUACCCCGUAACAUAACGAUGUGGCAUCACAUUGUUAUUAUAGAUUUUUAGCUCAUUGAUGGGUGUGCGGCUGAUUAGAUAGUUGGCGGGGUAACGGCCCACCAAGUCGACGAUCAGUAGCUGAUGUGAGAGCAUGAUCAGCCACACGGGCACUGAGACACGGGCCCGACUCCUACGGGAGGCAGCAGUAAGGAAUAUUGGACAAUGGACGCAAGUCUGAUCCAGCCAUGCCGCGUGAAGGAUUAAGGUCCUCUGAAUUGUAAACUUCUUUUAUAAGGGACGAAAAAAGGCUUUUCUAAGUCGUCUGACGGUACCUUAUGAAUAAGCACCGGCUAACUCCGUGCCAGCCGCCGCCGUAAGAC
rnacentral:rRNA from 1 species